rnacentral:rRNA from 1 species
UACACGCUGUGACUAGCAUAUCAAUAAGCGGAGGAAAAGAAACUAACAAGGAUUCCCCUAGUAACGGCGAGUGAAGCGGGAAGAGCUCAAAUUUGAAAUCUUAAAGGGUUUCCCUUUACGAAUUGUAGUUUAAAGAAGUGUUUUCUGUUGAGGUUUUGGUAAAAGUUCUUCGGAAUAGGACAUCAUAGAGGGUGAGAAUCCCGUAUUUGAUCAUUACCUUUCUAACUUUGUGAUACACUUUCAAAGAGUCGGAUUGUUUGGGAAUGCAGUCCAAAAUGGGUGGUAAAUUUCAUCUAAAGCUAAAUAUUGGCGAGAGACCGAUAGCGAACAAGUACCGUGAGGGGAAGAUGAAAAGAACUUUGAAAAGAGAGUUAAACAGUACGUGAAAUUGUCAAAAGGGAAGCGUUUGACACCAGUGUUGUUUUUCUGAAAAUCAAUUAAAGAACUGUUUAUGCUAAGUUGUUUAGACUUUAUCAGCUAACUGUUUAGUUUUGAGCUUUUCUUUAAUGCACUUUUCAGUUAACAAGUCAACAUCAAUUUCUUUUCGCUGUAAAAAAGCUUGAGGAAGGUGGCUUGAGAUUCGUCUUAAGUGUUUAUAGCCUCUUGCCUAUGCAGUCGGAGAGAUUGAGGUCUGCAGCGUAGAUCCUUCGGGGCUAAAUGCAUUUGUGCUAAGUUAUAGCAUUUCAUAGACAACUUGUUGACUAUGAUUUGUCUUGUAGCUUACUCGCUUAUGUUAUUUUACCUACGCUUAGGAUGUUGACAGCAGUAUAGACUGU